rnacentral:rRNA from 2 species
UGGAUCCAGACUUUGAUUCUGGCUCAGGAUGAACGCUAGCUACAGGCUUAACACAUGCAAGUCGAGGGGAAACGACAUCGAAAGCUUGCUUUUGAUGGGCGUCGACCGGCGCACGGGUGAGUAACGCGUAUCCAACCUGCCCAUCACUUGGGGAUAACCUUGCGAAAGUAAGACUAAUACCCAAUGACGUCUCUAGAAGACAUCUGAAAGAGAUUAAAGAUUUAUCGGUGAUGGAUGGGGAUGCGUCUGAUUAGCUUGUUGGCGGGGUAACGGCCCACCAAGGCUACGAUCAGUAGGGGUUCUGAGAGGAAGGUCCCCCACAUUGGAACUGAGACACGGUCCAAACUCCUACGGGAGGCAGCAGUGAGGAAUAUUGGUCAAUGGACGAGAGUCUGAACCAGCCAAGUAGCGUGCAGGAUGACGGCCCUAUGGGUUGUAAACUGCUUUUAUAAGGGAAUAAGGUGAGUCUCGUGAGACUUUUUGCAUGUACCUUAUGAAUAAGGACCGGCUAAUUCCGUGCCAGCAGCCGCGGUAAUACGGAAGGUCCGGGCGUUAUCCGGAUUUAUUGGGUUUAAAGGGAGCGUAGGCCGGAGAUUAAGCGUGUUGUGAAAUGUAGAUGCUCAACAUCUGCACUGCAGCGCGAACUGGUUUCCUUGAGUACGCACAAAGUGGGCGGAAUUCGUGGUGUAGCGGUGAAAUGCUUAGAUAUCACGAAGAACUCCGAUUGCGAAGGCAGCUCACUGGAGCGCAACUGACGCUGAAGCUCGAAAGUGCGGGUAUCGAACAGGAUUAGAUACCCUGGUAGUCCGCACGGUAAACGAUGGAUGCCCGCUGUUGGUCUGAAUAGGUCAGCGGCCAAGCGAAAGCAUUAAGCAUCCCACCUGGGGAGUACGCCGGCAACGGUGCAACUCAAAUGAAUUGACGGA